rnacentral:rRNA from 1 species
CUGAACCUUCGGGGAACGAUAACGGCGUCAAGCGGCGGACGGGUGAGUAAUGCCUAGGAAAUUGCCCUGAUGUGGGGGAUAACCAUUGGAAACGAUGGCUAAUACCGCAUAAUACCUACGGGUCAAAGAGGGGGACCUUCGGGCCUCUCGCGUCAGGAUAUGCCUAGGUGGGAUUAGCUAGUUGGUGAGGUAAUGGCUCACCAAGGCGACGAUCCCUAGCUGGUCUGAGAGGAUGAUCAGCCACACUGGAACUGAGACACGGUCCAGACUCCUACGGGAGGCAGCAGUGGGGAAUAUUGCACAAUGGGCGCAAGCCUGAUGCAGCCAUGCCGCGUGUGUGAAGAAGGCCUUCGGGUUGUAAAGCACUUUCAGUCGUGAGGAAGGUAGUGUAGUUAAUAGCUGCAUUAUUUGACGUUAGCGACAGAAGAAGCACCGGCUAACUCCGUGCCAGCAGCCGCGGUAAUACGGAGGGUGCGAGCGUUAAUCGGAAUUACUGGGCGUAA